rfam:Eubacterium sp. CAG:192 genomic scaffold, scf419
GCGGAUAUGGCGGAAUGGCAGACGCAUCAGACUCAAAAUCUGACGCCCAUAAAGCGUGUGGGUUCAAGUCCCACUAUCCGCA